CUGUGGAAGUUGAAAGUAGUGAAGUUGAAAAACAAUGCACCCAUGACCUCCUUUUCAUACCGGUCUUCUUCUCUUCAACAUCUUCUUUUUUUUUUCUUUUUUUUUUUGAGAUCUGAAUUCGAUGCUUGGAUGAUUGUGCCGGUUUGUUCAGGUCUCCUCCGCUGGCAGCGCCCUUGAUAGAAGCUCUGUUGCAAAGGGUGAAGGAACCCACAAUUUCUCACUGGGAGUUCCUCUCUACUAAAUUGCUCGAUUCCGAUGUAUAAUCCUUGUUUCGGAUUAAGCUUGAAAGGUCUUCCUCCAAUUCUUCUAACUUUCUCUGCUUCUCUUCUCAAUUGGGUUUCAAUUAUCACUGGUAAUCUCACUGACCAAUUGCUUGAAAGUGUACCUGCUGCUCUUUGUGUUGCUAUGAGAUGCGCUAAAUGAUUUCCCUCCCUUGGAGUCCAGAUUAUCCCGGCAUCUGAUUUUUUGCCAUUAUCAAUGCUUCCCUGAGUGCUAAUGCUUCAGCUUCAAGACUGGAGAAAGCCUUGAUUUCUGUUGCUGAUCUUGUGAUAAAUUUUCCUUGCCAAUCUCUAAGAACUGUUGCAGUUGCUCCCUUCUUAUUAGAUUUUCUGAAGCUUGCAUCCAUAUUGAUUUUCAACCAAUCAUUUGGUGGAGCCCUCCAGGUAACGUUUCUCAUCCU